rnacentral:rRNA from 1 species
GCGGGAAGAGCUCAAAUUUAUAAUCUGGCACCUUCGGUGUCCGAGUUGUAAUCUCUAGAAGUGUUUUCCGCGUUGGACCGCACACAAGUCUGUUGGAAUACAGCGGCAUAGUGGUGAGACCCCCGUAUAUGGUGCGGACGCCCAACGCUUUGUGAUACACUUUCGAAGAGUCGAGUUGUUUGGGAAUGCAGCUCAAAUUGGGUGGUAAAUUCCAUCUAAAGCUAAAUAUUGGCGAGAGACCGAUAGCGAACAAGUACCGUGAGGGAAAGAUGAAAAGCACUUUGGAAAGAGAGUUAACAGUACGUGAAAUUGUUGGAAGGGAAACGCUUGAAGUCAGACUUGCUUGCCGAGCAAUCGGUUUGCAGGCCAGCAUCAGUUUUCCGGGGUGGAUAAUGGUAGAGAGAAGGUAGCAGUUUCGGCUGUGUUAUAGCUCUCUGCUGGAUACACCUUGGGGGACUGAGGAACGCAGUGUGCCUUACGGCGGAUUUCUCGAGAUCUUCACACUUAGGAUGCUGGUGGAAUGGCUUUAAACGAC